UACAGAGGGUGCAAACGUUGUUCGGAAUUACUGGGCGUAAAGCGCGUGUAGGCGGCUUGGUAAGUCGGAUGUGAAAGCCCACGGCUCACCCGUGGAAGUGCAUACGAAACUGCCUGGCUAGAGUCCUGGAGAGGAAGGUGGAAUGCUUGGUGUAGAGGUGAAAGGCGUAGAUAGCAAGCGGAACACCGGUGGCGAAGGCGGCCUUCUGGACAGUGACUGACGCUGAGACGCGAAAGCGUGGGGAGCAAACAGG
rnacentral:rRNA from 1 species